rnacentral:lncRNA from 1 species
UUUUUUAGUAAACAAAAGUAAGAGAAACAAUGAUGUAUAAUUCAAGCAUGCUUGGUGAUCUCAAAUCAAUCACAAGGAGUCCCACCCAAAGGCAAAGGGAACCAAAAUGCUCAUUAUCCUUGAGGCUAUGCAAAUGCAAUGUUAUGAUGCCAUGAGGGAUCUUAGGGUCAAAAUUGGGGUCUUACAAUUUGGAAUUGGGAAAUUGAUGAAAAUUGACCAUAAAGUGCAAGGUGCAAAACAUGUGUAUGUGAAAAUUUCCAAAAUGGCCAAACUUCA